GAUGAACGCUGGCGGCGUGCCUAAUACAUGCAAGUCGAACGAGGAGUCUUUGUAGCAAUACGGAGGCUUCCUAGUGGCGAACGGGUGAGUAACGCGUUGGUGACCUGCCCCAAAGUGUGGGAUAACAGACCGAAAGGUUUGCUAAUACCGCAUGUGGUCACGAGGGUUAGAGGCCUUGUGACUAAAGGAGUAAUCCGCUUUGGGAGGGACCUGCGUCCCAUCAGCUAGUUGGUAGGGUAACGGCCUACCAAGGCUUCGACGGGUAGGGGGCCUGAGAGGGUGGCCCCCCACAAUGGAACUGAAACACGGUCCAUACACCUACGGGUGGCAG
rnacentral:rRNA from 1 species